CAGCCGCCGCGGUAAUACGUAGGGUGCGAGCGUUAGUCGGAAUUACUGGGCGUAAAGCGUGCGCAGGCGGUUUUGUAAGACAGGCGUGAAAUCCCCGGGCUCAACCUGGGAAUGGCGCUUGUGACUGCAAAGCUAGAGUGCGGCAGAGGGGGAUGGAAUUCCGCGUGUAGCAGUGAAAUGCGUAGAUAUGCGGAGGAACACCGAUGGCGAAGGCAAUCCCCUGGGCCUGCACUGACGCUCAUGCACGAAAGCGUGGGGAGCAAACAGGAUUAGAUACCCGUGUAGUCCCUGUCUCUUAUAC
rnacentral:rRNA from 1 species